rnacentral:rRNA from 1 species
GGGUUGUGAGGUUAAGCGACUAAGCGUACACGGUGGAUGCCCUGGCAGUCAGAGGCGAUGAAGGGCGUGCUAAUCUGCGAUAAGCGCCGGUAAGGUGAUAUGAACCGUUAUAACCGGCGAUACCCGAAUGGGGAAACCCAGUGUGACUCGUCACACUAUCAUUAACUGAAUCCAUAGGUUAAUGAGGCGAACCGGGGGAACUGAAACAUCUAAGUACCCCGAGGAAAAGAAAUCAACCGAGAUUCCCCCAGUAGCGGCGAGCGAACGGGGAGGAGCCCAGAGCCUGAAUCAGCAUGUGUGUUAGUGGAAGCGUCUGGAAAGGCGCGCGAUACAGGGUGACAGCCCCGUACACAAAAGCGCAUGUGCUGUGAGCUCGAUGAGUAGGGCGGGACACGUGGUAUCCUGUCUGAAUAUGGGGGGACCAUCCUCCAAGGCUAAAUACUCCUGACUGACCGAUAGUGAACCAGUACCGUGAGGGAAAGGCGAAAAGAACCCCGGCGAGGGGAGUGAAAAAGAACCUGAAACCGUGUACGUACAAGCAGUGGGAGCCCCACCACCAAAGCGUUUCGCUUUGUGUGGUGCACAAAGAAGCGUAACGACAGCACUGAAUGACGGUUAACGGAGCGCAAGCGACGUUCAACAUACAAAGUCAAGCAGUGGAGCGCUUUGGGGUGGGGUGACUGCGUACCUUUUGUAUAAUGGGUCAGCGACUUAUAUUCUGUAGCAAGGUUAACCGCAUAGGGGAGCCGGAGGGAAACCGAGUCUUAACCGGGCGUUAAGUUGCAGGGUAUAGACCCGAAACCCGGUGAUCUAGCCAUGGGCAGGUUGAAGGUUGGGUAACACUAACUGGAGGACCGAACCGACUAAUGUUGAAAAAUUAGCGGAUGACCUGUGGCUGGGGGUGAAAGGCCAAUCAAACCGGGAGAUAGCUGGUUCUCCCCGAAAGCUAUUUAGGUAGCGCCUCGUGAACUCAUCUCCGGGGGUAGAGCACUGUUUCGGCUAGGGGGCCAUCCCGGCUUACCAACCCGAUGCAAACUGCGAAUACCGGAGAAUGUUAUCACGGGAGACACACGGCGGGUGCUAACGUCCGUCGUGAAGAGGGAAACAACCCAGACCGCCAGCUAAGGUCCCAAAGUCAUGGUUAAGUGGGAAACGAUGUGGGAAGGCCCAGACAGCCAGGAUGUUGGCUUAGAAGCAGCCAUCAUUUAAAGAAAGCGUAAUAGCUCACUGGUCGAGUCGGCCUGCGCGGAAGAUGUAACGGGGCUAAACCAUGCACCGAAGCUGCGGCAGCGAACGUAUCACCCAAGACAACUUUACGGAGUUGACGAUUGACGGAGCGAAGCGACGUCAAAGCGUAUACAAAGUCGAGUUGGCUUAGGGAUACGUUCGUUGGGUAGGGGAGCGUUCUGUAAGCCUGUGAAGGUGGCCUGUGAGGGUUGCUGGAGGUAUCAGAAGUGCGAAUGCUGACAUAAGUAACGAUAAAGCGGGUGAAAAGCCCGCUCGCCGGAAGACCAAGGGUUCCUGUCCAACGUUAAUCGGGGCAGGGUGAGUCGACCCCUAAGGCGAGGCCGAAAGGCGUAGUCGAUGGGAAACGGGUUAAUAUUCCCGUACUUGGUGUUACUGCGAAGGGGGGACGGAGAAGGCUAUGUUGGCCGGGCGACGGUUGUCCCGGUUUAAGCGUGUAGGUGUGUGUUCCAGGUAAAUCCGGUUCACUUUAACACUGAGGCGUGAUGACGAGGCACUACGGUGCUGAAGCAACAAAUGCCCUGCUUCCAGGAAAAGCCUCUAAGCAUCAGGUAACAUCAAAUCGUACCCCAAACCGACACAGGUGGUCAGGUAGAGAAUACCAAGGCGCUUGAGAGAACUCGGGUGAAGGAACUAGGCAAAAUGGUGCCGUAACUUCGGGAGAAGGCACGCUGACACGUAGGUGAAGUGAUUUACUCAUGGAGCUGAAGUCAGUCGAAGAUACCAGCUGGCUGCAACUGUUUAUUAAAAACACAGCACUGUGCAAACACGAAAGUGGACGUAUACGGUGUGACGCCUGCCCGGUGCCGGAAGGUUAAUUGAUGGGGUCAGCGCAAGCGAAGCUCCUGAUCGAAGCCCCGGUAAACGGCGGCCGUAACUAUAACGGUCCUAAGGUAGCGAAAUUCCUUGUCGGGUAAGUUCCGACCUGCACGAAUGGCGUAAUGAUGGCCAGGCUGUCUCCACCCGAGACUCAGUGAAAUUGAACUCGCUGUGAAGAUGCAGUGUACCCGCGGCAAGACGGAAAGACCCCGUGAACCUUUACUAUAGCUUGACACUGAACAUUGAGCCUUGAUGUGUAGGAUAGGUGGGAGGCUUUGAAGCGUGGACGCCAGUCUGCGUGGAGCCAACCUUGAAAUACCACCCUUUAAUGUUUGAUGUUCUAACGUGGACCCGUAAUCCGGGUUGCGGACAGUGUCUGGUGGGUAGUUUGACUGGGGCGGUCUCCUCCUAAAGAGUAACGGAGGAGCACGAAGGUUGGCUAAUCCUGGUCGGACAUCAGGAGGUUAGUGCAAUGGCAUAAGCCAGCUUGACUGCGAGCGUGACGGCGCGAGCAGGUGCGAAAGCAGGUCAUAGUGAUCCGGUGGUUCUGAAUGGAAGGGCCAUCGCUCAACGGAUAAAAGGUACUCCGGGGAUAACAGGCUGAUACCGCCCAAGAGUUCAUAUCGACGGCGGUGUUUGGCACCUCGAUGUCGGCUCAUCACAUCCUGGGGCUGAAGUAGGUCCCAAGGGUAUGGCUGUUCGCCAUUUAAAGUGGUACGCGAGCUGGGUUUAGAACGUCGUGAGACAGUUCGGUCCCUAUCUGCCGUGGGCGCUGGAGAACUGAGGGGGGCUGCUCCUAGUACGAGAGGACCGGAGUGGACGCAUCACUGGUGUUCGGGUUGUCAUGCCAAUGGCACUGCCCGGUAGCUAAAUGCGGAAGAGAUAAGUGCUGAAAGCAUCUAAGCACGAAACUUGCCCCGAGAUGAGUUCUCCCUGAGACUUAGAGUCUCCUGAAGGAACGUUGAAGACGACGACGUUGAUAGGCCGGGUGUGUAAGCGCAGCGAUGCGUUGAGCUAACCGGUACUAAUGAACCGUGAGGCUUAACCUUACAACGCCGAAG